rnacentral:rRNA from 1 species
GGCGAACGCCGCUGUGGGAAUGGGGUGGGCAGUCACCGUAAAGGAGAACCGCGUCUCCGGGGCAUGAAUAGGUCUAAGCGGGGGUGUCGUCGUCGAAAGGGUGGGUAGGGGUAGAGGGGCGGCCGCGUCCGGGUGGUCGCGGGCAGGGAGCGGCGUCGGUCAUCGGCGUCCUCAUCCACGCCGGGGGGGUGGAGGGCAAGGGAAAGGCCUUUCCUUUUGCGGGGGAGCGUGCGCUCCACAAGCUGCCUCUCGGCGUAUCCUCGUCCGUCCGCGUCGGGUACAGCUCGCGUCGGCGGUCUAGCCUCAGCCCGCGACCGGGCCGGUGGCGAGUACUCGAUCGGUACGUCGUCGGUGGCGUCGUCGUCCUCCACCAGCGGCGGCGCCGACUCCACGUCCGCGGUGGUGGCCCUAGUCACCACCACCGGCGCCGACUUCACGGACGCGGCCACCAGCACCGGUGCCGACUCCACGGGCGUGUCCGCGGGCCCCGCCAUGAGUGGUAGCACUAGAGCUUCGGCCUCCUCCUCCUCCGCGCGCUCGUUUUCCCGCAGCGAGGCCGGAGAGACGGGGGAGACCUCCAGCCCCUACGGUCGCGGUACCAACGGCACCGCCGGCGCUUCCUCCGUCUCGACCGCUCUAGGCUGUCGAAGCUGCUCGUUACGUCUCAAACAGUCGUUUUCAGUCUUCUUGGAAACCAUCUGGAACCUACGUCUACAGCACCACUAGAAAGUUUUCGAGUGGCGUGAACAUAACUACAGACCAAGGCAUGAUCUCCAAGUUUGUUCACACUCUAUACGGUCGUUCAACGACAGUUGUAUGGAGGAGGUCUCUGUGUUCGUUCAUGUUCAAUAACCCAAACCUCCCAACUAAGUCGAAUACCUUCCCCGGCUCCUCCUGCACUUUCCCCUACCAAAUCGGGUGAGACCCAACGUAAACGUUAAGACUAACCACCAGAUAAUAACCUACACGACUAUAGACAAAGAGAACCACAAAGGCGUGAAGGACACUUGUAUUAUUAACCAUACCUUAAUCAUAAAACCACAUGGUCUAGGUUUAUAAGGAAAUACAAGACAUUGGUGAACAGAGACACAAGACAAUAGUGAACGGAAAGCAACUAAAACUUUCACACCUUUGACUGUAAAUUCUUCCUAAUCAAAAUAUAGUUCAAACAAGACACCGUUGUAUCCUUACUGGCUUACUCAUAACUAUAAAGAAACUCUUUGUUGAUAAUGUUGAGGGCCAGACUCUAAUAUACGGUGAUUCAAACACAGGGUCGUUGUGAAUCAGGGACUAAGGGACAAUUUCGUUAUAUUAUUGAUCAGUUAUCCUCGUUGUAACACUCCAACAGGUACCUAUAACUUGGUGUACAGGUGUGGACUACAAUACAAGUUUCUUACAGUCUGUUCUCCUCUUCCUUAACCCAAUUUCGGUACCACGCCGUCGCGGAGAUGGUCGGUGGGAGACGGAACGGCUCGAGACCACAGAGAUCCGCGCCGGUAACACAGCGGUGAUGUGCAUCGAUGUAAAGGAGGGACGAUCCGUACGGAAUAGAAGAGGAGAGGGCGAGGAGGUCGAAGAAGAAAAAGAGUGAUGGUACAAGACGUGCGACCCUCAGCAGUGGGGAUAGUCGUCUUUCAUACGGCGGAGAUAGAGGUACGGGUCGAAGAACAGGAGUGACAAGACAACCGGUCUAAUUCGGGACUUACAGUGGUGGGGAUUCGACGAGACGAGGAUGAUUACAUGAAUAAAACAAGAGAGAGGGGAGACAAGUGAAUAAUAUCAAUCUAUUGUUGUCAAAUCAUACUGUGACUAGUAAUAAAGUCACCUACGACGGACGAUCACUGUACGAAACAACGAAUACAAGAUUUUCUCCGUUCUCUUACACCCGUUGUUUCGGAAACUAGGAACAUAAAUUAAGAGUCUAAAUGACAAAAACGGUAACGAUACAGCACCUUACACUUGAAUUAAACUAGAUUAAACGACUGGACGUUUCAAUCCAAACACGGAUACUUUACAACUAAAUUAAACGACUGUAUAUUUCAAUCCAAUACGAAUACUUCAGCGGAGUGGUAUGCGGUAUACGAAAUAUUUUAAUACUUCCCCCAGCCGACGGUGUUGUGUGUAAUGUGUAAAUUAACUUACUUCGCGUCUUCUUGAUCACGUAUCUAUAGUAACGUUUAUAAGUAAGAGUAAAAAGAUCCUCAUCACUUAACAUAGUUAAGUACAUCGAUUAUUUAGUUAACCUUUUACGACAAUCGUUCUUUAGCAUAGGUACUAGAAAUUAAUUUUAUUCUUUUGGUCUAUUACACAGUAAGCCUUGAUCUUGAGUGAAGGCACCCGUCAGUUAAACUAACAUGAGCGUCCGAUGAAAUAAUUAAACAAACAAUAUGAAGUCCAACCAAAUAAGACAGUCACAACCACGUAUGUGAACAAAUAACACCAAGCGAAUGUCCUCCGUGGUGUGUAUCCUACAAAGUAACUGAACUGAUCAACAAAAGUCCACAAGACUAACAAGAGCCGAACCCGUGACGGGAAGCUGAUCGAGAGCUCACGACGGUCCUCAAACCGAGCUCCUCUUCGUACGGUUCCUACCUUUUGUACCGUGGGUCACCCAUGGUGGGGCCUCAUAUCGAAUCCGGACAUUUAUCAUAUCUCCAGUUACAAACCUAAGAGGAAAACUGUCGACCAUCAAGAAUGUGUGACGAGGUACUUUUGUUCGAGUUUAAGUUUCGGACGACUAAUGUUAGUUUAGUGCAGGAAGGCUACAUUUAUACGUCGGGACUAUAACUAGAAAGAACUGCACAAAGAAGACUGUGAUAAUCUCUCUCGACGGACAGGGUCUAGAGAACCAAUUUGGAAUGAGUUCUAAAGACCAGAUCGGGAUGGACCCCCGGUUCUAAUCGCAAUUACACCCACACUCAAACAUUUCCCGACUUUCGGUGAACAACGAUAGAUACCUUACGUACGUCUUCGGAAACAACACGAAAGUGCAAGUUUACAGGCUUGACUUCUACAUGUGACGCCUCUUUAGGUUU